UUUCUAAAUAAAUGAGUGGAGUACUUUAUUUCAGAAUACAACUCUCUCCUUUCAAAACUUGCAUUUGCUGUAAGGCAGGAGGAACUGGCCCUGAGCAGAUUUUACAGAUCAGAAUACAUCAGGUAAAGCAAAUGUUCUUGUCCUGGGAACAGUGACAGGACCCAAGGGAAUGGCC